UCGAGCGGUAGAGAGAAGCUUGCUUCUCUUGAGAGCGGCGGACGGGUGAGUAAUGCCUAGGAAUCUGCCUGGUAGUGGGGGAUAACGUUCGGAAACGGACGCUAAUACCGCAUACGUCCUACGGGAGAAAGCAGGGGACCUUCGGGCCUUGCGCUAUCAGAUGAGCCUAGGUCGGAUUAGCUAGUUGGUGGGGUAAUGGCUCACCAAGGCGACGAUCCGUAACUGGUCUGAGAGGAUGAUCAGUCACACUGGAACUGAGACACGGUCCAGACUCCUACGGGAGGCAGCAGUGGGGAAUAUUGGACAAUGGGCGAAAGCCUGAUCCAGCCAUGCCGCGUGUGUGAAGAAGGUCUUCGGAUUGUAAAGCACUUUAAGUUGGGAGGAAGGGUUGUAGAUUAAUACUCUGCAAUUUUGACGUUACCGACAGAAUAAGCACCGGCUAACUCUGUGCCAGCAGCCGCGGUAAUACAGAGGGUGCAAGCGUUAAUCGGAAUUACUGGGCGUAAAGCGCGCGUAGGUGGUUUGUUAAGUUGGAUGUGAAAUCCCCGGGCUCAACCUGGGAACUGCAUUCAAAACUGACUGACUAGAGUAUGGUAGAGGGUGGUGGAAUUUCCUGUGUAGCGGUGAAAUGCGUAGAUAUAGGAAGGAACACCAGUGGCGAAGGCGACCACCUGGACUAAUACUGACACUGAGGUGCGAAAGCGUGG
rnacentral:rRNA from 1 species